UAAUAAUAACGAGCAUCAAAUUCUAUGCCAAUAAUCUGACUGGUCUGCUUGUUGGUGACCAUCAACCAAGUUGCAGCCAAUGUAGCAGCCACUGUGACAGUCCUCAUGAAGAUUUGGACUCCAAGAAAAAUCUUUUGGGUUUUCAGAGGUGGGUUUUGCUGGAACUUGGAUUCUGUGCUUGUCAUGGUGAAAAUUUCUUGGGUUUUCAGAGGUGGGUUUCUGAGGAAGAACAAUUGCAGAAAACAAAGAACAGAUAAUAAGUGCUGAAGGG
rnacentral:lncRNA from 1 species